rnacentral:lncRNA from 1 species
GGAGGUAAGCAUCGUGGCGGGAACUGGCUUACCUAUUUGAUGCAACUUUGGUAUCAUUUCUAUGUUGCUUGGGAACUUCCUCCUUUGACGAAACCUCCAACAACAGUGUGCAUGCUAUCCUUUGCCAAGGCAGGGUUAGAUUGGACAAUAUGGCUCUGAAUGACUAGUUUUACGGGAGAAGGUUGUUGAUAUUGGAUGGGCUUGGGCCUUUGGAUUUAGAGGACCAUGUUAGGUUGGUUUGAUUAUUCUUGGCCCCGU